UCAAUGAAGAAACCACGAAUCCGAUUUAGUUCUUUCAAAUCCUUAAAAAGUUUGGGAUUAACGCAUUAACGAAGAAACCACGAAUCCGAUUCGAUUCUUUUGCAGAAGGAACUGUUGGAGUCAAACUCGGAUAAUCCGUAGUCGUAGGUGGUCUCGGGUCCCUCGGAUAAGCUGGUGGAUGCAAAUCAGGAAACCGUCUGAGGAGAAGCUUGUUGCACUCCAUGAGAACUUGAAUUGAGCGUCUUUCUCUUUUUCACGUGCCUUCAACGUUUGAAUCUCUUCUCAGAGCUUAGGAAUUUGGCGUGGAGUACCUGAGGAAGACGAGCAUCCUUCAUCCAAAAGAGUACCAAGUCCAUAACGUCUUCCUCUCACCUUCGGAACAACCUGUGAAGUAAAACCAGAAAUUAACAUCGUUGUUGAAUGUUUGUCAAAUCAAAGCUUAAAAGGAGGAAGAGAACUCAUACUUACUUUACGCAUGACAGAAUUAAUCUCCUCUGGUGUAAGAGGGUUAGACUGAACCGAGUCAUCUCCUUCGGUUUGGUGUUGUGAUUGGAGAAGCUCUAACUCACUUGUAGCCUUGUCGAUAAUCUGUUUUGUCUUAAAGUCACUUAUUGUGCGUGUCUUCUUAUAUAGGUGAGUUUGUUCCAUGAAGUGAAGGACAUUAGGCUCCUCUCCUAACAAAAACAAAACUACCUUAAAGCUAACACGUUUCAAGAUAUGUUUCUCCCCAAAACGAUUUGUAGACAUUUCUACAUUCAAUAAGAACAUCAUAAUCAUU